CCUACGGGCGGCAGCAGUCGAGAAUCAUUCACAAUGGGGGAAACCCUGAUGGUGCGACGCCGCGUGGGGGAAUGAAGGUCUUCGGAUUGUAAACCCCUGUCAUGUGGGAGCAAAUUAAAAAGAUAGUACCACAAGAGGAAGAGACGGCUAACUCUGUGCCAGCAGCCGCGGGAAUACAGAGGUCUCAAGCGUUGUUCGGAAUCACUGGGCGUAAAGCGUGCGUAGGCUGUUUCGUAAGUCGUGUGUGAAAGGUGCGGGCUCAACCCGCGGACGGCAGCUGAUACUGCGAGACUAGAGUAAUGGAGGGGGAACCGGAAUUCUCGGUGUAGCAGUGAAAUGCGUAGAUAUCGAGAGGAACACUCGUGGCGAAGGCGGGUUCCUGGACAUUAACUGACGCUGAGGCACGAAGGCCAGGGGAGCGAAAGGGAUUAGAUACCCUUGUAGUC
rnacentral:rRNA from 1 species